rnacentral:rRNA from 1 species
GACUCUCGGCAACGGAUAUCUCGGCUCUCGCAUCGAUGAAGAACGUAGCGAAAUGCGAUACUUGGUGUGAAUUGCAGAAUCCCGUGAACCAUCGAGUUUUUGAACGCAAGUUGCGCCCAAAGCCACUCGGCCGAGGGCACGUCUGCCUGGGCGUCACGUA